rnacentral:rRNA from 1 species
UGGGGAAUAUUGGACAAUGGGCGAAAGCCUGAUCCAGCCAUGCCGCGUGUGUGAAGAAGGUCUUCGGAUUGUAAAGCACUUUAAGUUGGGAGGAAGGGUUGUAGAUUAAUACUCUGCAAUUUUGACGUUACCGACAGAAUAAGCACCGGCUAACUCUGUGCCAGCAGCCGCGGUAAUACAGAGGGUGCAAGCGUUAAUCGGAAUUACUGGGCGUAAAGCGCGCGUAGGUGGUUUGUUAAGUUGGAUGUGAAAUCCCCGGGCUCAACCUGGGAACUGCAUUCAAAACUGACUGACUAGAGUAUGGUAGAGGGUGGUGGAAUUUCCUGUGUAGCGGUGAAAUGCGUAGAUAUAGGAAGGAACACCAGUGGCGAAGGCGACCACCUGGACUAAUACUGACACUGAGGUGCGAAAGCGUGGGGAGCAAACAGGAUUAGAUACCCUGGUAGUCCACGCCGUAAACGAUGUCAACUAGCCGUUGGAAGCCUUGAGCUUUUAGUGGCGCAGCUAACGCAUUAAGUUGACCGCCUGGGGAGUACGGCCGCAAGGUUAAAACUCAAAUGAAUUGACGGGGGCCCGCACAAGCGGUGGAGCAUGUGGUUUAAUUCGAAGC